AACAUGCAGUCGAACGGUGAUGCCCAGCUUGCUGGGUGGAUCAGUGGCGANCGGGUGAGUAACACGUGAGUAACCUGCCCCAGACUCCGGGAUAAGCCUUGGAAACGAGGUCUAAUACUGGAUACGAGAUGCCCCUGCAUGGGGAGUGUCUGGAAAGAUUUAUCGGUCUGGGAUGGACUCGCGGCCUAUCAGCUUGUUGGUGGGGUAAUGGCCUACCAAGGCGACGACGGGUAGCCGGCCUGAGAGGGCGACCGGCCACACUGGGACUGAGACACGGCCCAGACUCCUACGGGAGGCAGCAGUGGGGAAUAUUGCACAAUGGGCGAAAGCCUGAUGCAGCGACGCCGCGUGAGGGAUGAAGGCCUUCGGGUUGUAAACCUCUUUCAGCAGGGAAGAAGCGCAAGUGACGGUACCUGCAGAAGAAGCGCCGGCUAACUACGUGCCAGCAGCCGCGGUAAUACGUAGGGCGCAAGCGUUGUCCGGAAUUAUUGGGCGUAAAGAGCUCGUAGGCGGUUUGUCGCGUCUGGUGUGAAAACUCAAGGCUCAACCUUGAGCUUGCAUCGGGUACGGGCAGACUAGAGUGCGGUAGGGGUGACUGGAAUUCCUGGUGUAGCGGUGGAAUGCGCAGAUAUCAGGAGGA
rnacentral:rRNA from 1 species